rnacentral:rRNA from 1 species
UACCAGCACCCCGAGUGGUCGGGACGAUUAUUGGGCCUAAAGCAUCCGUAGCCGGUUCUACAAGUCUUCCGUUAAAUCCACCUGCUUAACAGAUGGGCUGCGGAGGAUACUACAAGGCUAGGAGGCGGAAGAGGCAAGCGGUACUCAGUGGGUAGGGGUAAAAUCCUCUGAUCCAUUGAAGACCACCAGUGGCGAAGGCGGCUUGCCAAUACGCGCUCGACGGUGAGGGAUGAAAGCUGGGGGAGCAAACAGG